rnacentral:rRNA from 1 species
UACGGAGGGGCGAGCGUUGUCCGAAGUUACUGGGCGUAAAGCGCGCGUAGGCGGGUUGGUAAGUCCGCUGUGAAAGCCCGGAGCUUAACUCCGGAGGGUCGGUGGAUACUGCCAGUCUUGAAGGUGCUAGGGGGAGAUGGAAUUACCGGUGUAGCGGUGAAAUGCGUAGAUAUCGCUUGGAACGCCAAAGGUGAAAACAGGUUGCUGGGGUUGUGCCGACGCUGAGACACGAAAGCCAGGGGAGCCAA